CAAGAGGAGUGAGAUGCGGACGGUGGUGGAGAGCGAGGUGCGUUGAGAUGUGUUGAAGGACACAAACUUAGGAGAAACUUUCGCACUUUAAUAUUAGGUACACUUCAGUCAAUUCAGGGGAUCCAAUAUGAGGAGUAGCGAUGAAGGCCUUGUGCAUGCGAUGCCCAUCUUGCUAAUUGUGAUUUUCGGACGACUGACAUUGCCUGGUUGUCCUGAGCUACUCAAGGCAGGAGACGCAACGAGUUACAAAAAUAGUCUUAUAUCUAUGGACACAAGCUCAAGUGCAGUUAUAGUCCAAAACACAUCGGUAGGAGAGAAAAAGUUGACUAUAGAAUUUUGUGUGAGGUAUGACUGCGAUGAGGAUCAUCACCCCUGCUACUGUUGUGAUAACGGGGACCAAAAGUGUCACAGCACAAGGAAGGAGUGUCAAGCCAAUUGCCCCGCGUGCAACCCUCAUUGCCCCCCACAACAAUUGAAUCAAACAAUGAUGAUAGGGAGGUCUUCGCGCACAUUAACGAAUUCUACUUUAGUUAGAGGUGCAUGAUGAUCUUACAACUUUUAGUACUGAAUAACAAUGUAAGAUGCACAAUAUAUGUGUUAGCAUCCAGUUUUCCAAAGAAGAAUAAACACUUGUUAUAUGUGUAUC